UCCGUCGUGGUGCAGUGGUAGCCCGCCAGACGACGGAAUCCAACAAUACACCUGCACCGGUACCAGACGGUCUCGCUGGCGGGUGCAUUGUUGGGCAUCGAGUCUGGAGACCCGAGUUCGAUUCUCGGCGAUGGAA